rnacentral:rRNA from 1 species
UACGUAGGGUGCAAGCGUUAAUCGGAAUUACUGGGCGUAAAGCGUGCGCAGGCGGUUUUGUAAGUCUGACGUGAAAUCCCCGGGCUUAACCUGGGAAUUGCGUUGGAGACUGCAAGGCUGGAGUCUGGCAGAGGGGGGUAGAAUUCCACGUGUAGCAGUGAAAUGCGUAGAGAUGCGGAGGAACACCGAUGGCGAAGGCAGCCCCCUGGGCUAGCACUGACGCUCAGGCACGAAAGCGUGGGGAGCAAACAGG